rnacentral:rRNA from 1 species
ACUCAAAUGAAUUGACGGGGGGCCGCACAAGCGGUGGAGCGUGUGGUUUAAUUCGACGCUAAGCGAAGAACCUUACCAGGGCUUGACAUCCCGGUCGUAUCCCGUGGAAACACGGGAGUCAGUUUGCUGGACCGGUGACAGGUGCUGCAUGGUCGUCGUCAGCUCGUGUCGUGAGAUGUUGGGUUAAGUCCCGCAACGAGCGCAACCCUCGUCGUAUGUUGUAUUUUUCAUACGAGACUGCCUCGGUUAACGAGGAGGAAGGCGGGGAUGACGUCAGAUCAGCAUGGCCCUUAUGCUCUGGGCGACACACGCGCUACAAUGGCCGGCACAAUGGGACGCGAAGCCGCAAGGUGGAGCAAAUCCCAUCAAAGCCGGUCUCAGUUCGGAUUGGAGGCUGCAACUCGCCUCCAUGAAGUCGGAAUCGCUAGUAAUCGCAGGUCAGCCAUACUGCGGUGAAUACGUUCUCGGCCCUUGCACACACCGCCCGU